GGAAUGGAAGCAAGACACUUCAGUUCCCAGUGCCCUGUGUGGAUCGGAUGUUUCAGAAGAAUAACAACCUGCAACUUUCUGCUGUUCUCCCUGGAGAAAGGAGGAAAUCACGCCCCAGAAGUAGUGUAUGGGAUUAGAUGAUGACCUGCACUGGAAAGAAAUAAGUUUGGCGAAAGACAUCCAGCAGUGGAGAGAAAGCCUGGACAUACGCCUGUCAACAGGAGAAGUGAAAGAUCACUUGUGGAAGGAAGGCAAGGGCAAUAGAAAGAGGAGAAAAAUGACAACAGACUGCUCUGCUUCUAAUGACACCAAAAGGUUUGAAUCUGACACUGAUGGGGAACUUUGAGAAGCCACUAUUAAUUCUCUCAAUUCUUCCUUUCCCUCUGCCCUCCCUCUGUACCUCAGGCACAGGACUGAAGAAAAGAUGCCACAGCAGGUAGCUGUUGCCCAGGAAUGGAGUAGCAAAUUCGUCUCCAUCUAUAGCCCUGGAAUAUUGCCUGACAAGCAAAAGAAAAAUAUGAGGCGAGUUAACAUUACUGCUAUAUUGAAUAACCAGCACAAGGACUCGAGUUUUCUGAGGUUACAUUCUCCAACAUGACCUCCAGCAAGUCUGUAAACCUGUUGGAGAGAUUCCAUGUUUUCCAAGGUCAACUGAAGCACUGCCUACAUUGAGGAAGCUGGCACAAAUGUAAUUACGUCGAUAGAGAGCGUGUUUUCUUAAUGUAAAAAGGGCCUUGCUCUCCUUUCAGGAAUGACUCUUGCAUAUAGAGCUUCCUGAAGGUAAAACAAUGAAUAAAACAGAUGUGGAGUUUACAGA